rnacentral:rRNA from 1 species
AUGAACGCUGGCGGCGUGCCUAAUACAUGCAAGUCGAGCGAACAGACGAGGAGCUUGCUCCUCUGACGUUAGCGGCGGACGGGUGAGUAACACGUGGAUAACCUACCUAUAAGACUGGGAUAACUUCGGGAAACCGGAGCUAAUACCGGAUAAUAUAUUGAACCGCAUGGUUCAAUAGUGAAAGACGGUUUUGCUGUCACUUAUAGAUGGAUCCGCGCCGCAUUAGCUAGUUGGUAAGGUAACGGCUUACCAAGGCAACGAUGGGUAGCCGACCUGAGAGGGUGAUCGGCCACACUGGAACUGAGACACGGUCCAGACUCCUACGGGAGGCAGCAGUAGGGAAUCUUCCGCAAUGGGCGAAAGCCUGACGGAGCAACGCCGCGUGAGUGAUGAAGGUCUUCGGAUCGUAAAACUCUGUUAUUAGGGAAGAACAAAUGUGUAAGUAACUAUGCACGUCUUGACGGUACCUAAUCAGAAAGCCACGGCUAACUACGUG